rnacentral:rRNA from 1 species
GACGAACGCUGGCGGCGUGCUUAACACAUGCAAGUCGAACGGAAAGGCCCUGCUUUUGUGGGGUGCUCGAGUGGCGAACGGGUGAGUAACACGUGAGUAACCUGCCCUUGACUUUGGGAUAACUUCAGGAAACCGGGGCUAAUACCGGAUAGGAGCUCCUGCUGCAUGGUGGGGGUUGGAAAGUUUCGGCGGUUGGGGAUGGACUCGCGGCUUAUCAGCUUGUUGGUGGGGUAGUGGCUUACCAAGGCUUUGACGGGUAGCUGGCCUGAGAGGGUGACCGGCCACAUUGGGACUGAGAUACGGCCCAGACUCCUACGGGAGGCAGCAGUGGGGAAUAUUGCACAAUGGGCGGAAGCCUGAUGCAGCAACGCCGCGUGCGGGAUGACGGCCUUCGGGUUGUAAACCGCUUUCGCCUGUGACGAAGCGUGAGUGACGGUAAUGGGUAAAGAAGCACCGGCUAACUACGUGCCAGCAGCCGCGGUGAUACGUAGGGUGCGAGCGUUGUCCGGAUUUAUUGGGCGUAAAGGGCUCGUAGGUGGUUGAUCGCGUCGGAAGUGUAAUCUUGGGGCUUAACCCUGAGCGUGCUUUCGAUACGGGUUGACUUGAGGAAGGUAGGGGAGAAUGGAAUUCCUGGUGGAGCGGUGGAAUGCGCAGAUAUCAGGAGGAACACCAGUGGCGAAGGCGGUUCUCUGGGCCUUUCCUGACGCUGAGGAGCGAAAGCGUGGGGAGCGAACAGGCUUAGAUACCCUGGUAGUCCACGCUGUAAACGGUGGGUACUAGGUGUGGGGUCCAUUCCACGGGUUCCGUGCCGUAGCUAACGCUUUAAGUACCCCGCCUGGGAAGUACGGCCGCAAGGCUAAAACUCAAAGGAAUUGACGGGGCCCCGCACAAGCGGCGGAGCAUGCGGAUUAAUUCGAUGCAACGCGUAGAACCUUACCUGGGUUUGACAUGGAUCGGGAGCGCUCAGAGAUGGGUGUGCCUCUUUUGGGGUCGGUUCACAGGUGGUGCAUGGCUGUCGUCAGCUCGUGUCGUGAGAUGUUGGGUUAAGUCCCGCAACGAGCGCAACCCUUGUUCACUGUUGCCAGCACGUUAUGGUGGGGACUCAGUGGAGACCGCCGGGGUCAACUCGGAGGAAGGUGGGGAUGACGUCAAGUCAUCAUGCCCCUUAUGUCCAGGGCUUCACGCAUGCUACAAUGGCUGGUACAGAGAGUGGCGAGCCUGUGAGGGUGAGCGAAUCUCGGAAAGCCGGUCUCAGUUCGGAUUGGGGUCUGCAACUCGACCUCAUGAAGUCGGAGUCGCUAGUAAUCGCAGAUCAGCAACGCUGCGGUGAAUACAUUCCCGGG